rnacentral:rRNA from 1 species
GGUUGCGAUCAUACCAGCACUAAUGCACCGGAUCCCAUCAGAACUCCGCAGUUAAGCGUGCUUGGGCGAGAGUAGUACUAGGAUGGGUGACCCCCUGGGAAGUCCUCGUGUUGCAACUC